ensembl:lncRNA
CACACACCUGUCUUACACACAGCUCUCACACACACCUGUCUUACACACAGCUAUCUCACACACACCUGUCUUACACACAGCUAUCUCACAAACACCUGUCUUACACACAGCUCACACACACCUGUCUCUCACACACACCUGUCUCUCACACACACCUGUCUCUCACACACACCUGUCUCACACACACCUGUCUCACACACACCUGCGGACUGUAGGGCCUGAGUUAGAGCAUGGACCAGAAGAAGCUCAUAAAAAUAUAAUUCUUAAUAAAGUAGGGCUGAGGGGGACGCAACUAAAGGGUUAAAUAAGAUUCUCUCUCUUAGCUUCCUCUAUAUAGUAACCUGAAGGUAGUGGACAGGACAGCAGCUUCCUCUAUAUAGUAACCUGAAGGUAGUGGACAGGACAGCAGCUUCCUCUAUAUAGUAUCCUGAAGACAGUGGACAGGACAGCAGCUUCCUCUAUAUAGUAACCUGAAGGUAGUGGACAGGACAGCAGCUUCCUCUAUAUAGUAACCUGAAGGUAGUGGACAGGAGAGCAACUUCCUCUAUAUAGUAACCGGAAGGUAGUGGACAGGACAGGAGCUUCAUCUAUAUAGUAACCUGAAGGUAGUGGACAGGACAGGAGCUUCCUCUAUAUAGUAACCUGAAGGUAGUGGACAGGACAGGAGCUUCCUCUAUAUAGUAACCUGAAGGUAGUGGACAGGACUGCAGCUUCCUCUAUAUAGUAACCUGAAGGCAGUGGACAGGUGAAACUAACAGCUUCCUGUCUAUAGUAACCUGAAGGCAGUGGACAGGUGAAACUAACAGCUUCCUGUCUAUAGUUACCUGAAGGCAGAGGACAGGUGAAACUAACAGCUUCCUGUCUAUAGUUACCUGAAGGCAGAGGACAGGUGAAACUUUAAAUUAAGGCCAGCUGGGUUGACCAGGAGAGGAAGCCACAGUCGACGCUACUUUCUCAAUUCCUCCUCUAGGCCUCAUGGCACAGCUCCACAUCAAAACAACACUGUCCACAGUAUCUUUCCCAGCCCCCUUGGCUCCUUCACCCUAAGGCAUUAGUGUAGUUCUGACAGGAUUGGAUACAUGUAAAAACAUAGCCACAUUUCCACCUCGCCCAUCAGGGUUGUAUUCAUUAAUAAACACCGUAACAAAAUGUACUGCAGUAGAAGAUUGGAGAAAAAAAAAGUGUUUCUUAUUGUAAAAGUUCAGGUAGAUCCCUCCCGGUUUCAGUCUGUUUUGUUCCGUUCGGUGACUAAUGAACAUGACCUACUUUCACACAGUAGUUCCAUAUAGAACCGCUUCUGUAUCCUGUGAAUAUGACGAAUAAAGUUUGAUUUCCUUUUUGAUACCUACGCAAUUUUUUCAGAUCGAGGGCAUUUAACCCUUUCUAUCCCCUCACCUCCCCAGUCCCAAAUGGAACCCUAUAUAGUGCACCACAUAGGGAAUAGGGUGCCGAGAUGGGACGUUACCCACAGGCACAGAUCUGAGACCAGUUUUAAACCUACCCCUCAAAAGGGGCGUUACCCACAGGCACAGAUCUGAGACCAGUUUUAAGCAGACCCCUCAAAAGGGGCGUUACCCACAGGCACAAAUCUGAGACCAGUUUUAUGCAGACCCCUCAAAAGGGGC